CCCCCAAAAGUGUUUUAUGCGUGUACCAUCGCACUUGUGAGAGUUAACGCUACAAAAAUGAGUUGAGCGAGGCGCAACUGCCCCUCCUCGCUUGUGGUUAGAGCAAAGAAAGCUGCAGAAGCCCUUCGUGGUCGUGCCCCGGCUUGCAAAGGCAACAAGAGAGAGGGGCCUUCUGCUUGCCGAGAGGAAAUGGUCUCCGCGCAUGCGCAGCGGGACGAGUAGCGGCUGCAUGGGCUUCACGGUCGGCGAGCACAACCCAGCGGCCAAAAUGGCGGCCAACGCCAACAACUGCCACAAUCAACCGAUGCUCGACUUGUUACUUUACUUCUACUGCAAAUAAUCAGACAGUGACAAUAAAGUUAUCCAUCCAUCCAUCCAUCCAUUUUCUGAGCCGCUUCUCCUCACUAGGGCCGCGGGGGUGCUGGAGCCUAGAAC